AAAAGCCAAGGAUAUAAAAUCUUAAAUUUUGUGACAGUAUAACUCGACAGUCUCAAUAUGACCUGAUAAAUUGAUGAAGUGAAGAUGAGAUUAUUGAGACUGUUCAUAUUAUGAUUCAAAACCAUUUUCUAUUGUGGCAUAUAGGUGGCUCAAAGUAAUGGCUCUUUUGAUAGGUUUUGUUGUGUCUUGUGAGCAAAUCAUGUGUCUAGUGUUGGAAUGGAAUUGUUGCUACAGUAUCACAAGUGGAUAUUUUGACUUUGUCGUUCCCUCAGUAUUACAGCCUGACUUGUAAUCAAUAAUGAAUAUUUCUUGAUAUUUAAUGUAUAGGACAUUUAUUUAUACUCAAUAAAUAUUUUUCAAAAGGAUAUAAUUUCAAUAUCACUUCAGCCUAAGGGCUCCACUACAGAAACCAAAUUUAAUCAAUAGCAUUGUGGUACAGACAUAAGAGCAAUGGCCGUGGGUAUACUAUCUGCUACCUACUAAGUCUACUUGACUUCUGUAAAUUUCUAUUUCCUUAUUAGUAAAAUUGUGCUUAAUUGAGAUAAUGGUCAUAACUACUCUGUUAACUGCAGUGUGCUAUAUUCUCAUAUGAGGGAUUAUUAAUAAUUAAAAAAAAGUGGGGGCUUCAUUCUUUUCUUACAGGGUGCCUGGAGUGCUAUGGCAAGUCCAAAUCCUGCCUGAUUUUAGAGUCUUUAACAAUCCUUCCUCACUCAACCUCUCACCAACAGCAUUUCCCCUCUAGUAUGACUGGGUACACAGUGCCAUGUGUACCAAUCUUUUACAUGUCUGUAGAUCAAACUAAUAAACAUUUAUUGAA
rnacentral:lncRNA from 1 species